rnacentral:rRNA from 1 species
ACAAUGGGCGCAAGCCUGAUGCAGCCAUGCCGCGUGUAUGAAGAAGGCUUCGGGUUGUAAAGUACUUUCAGCGGGGAGGAAGGCGACGGGGUUAAUAACCCUGUCGAUUGACGUUACCCGCAGAAGAAGCACCGGCUAACUCCGUGCCAGCAGCCGCGGUAAUACGGAGGGUGCAAGCGUUAAUCGGAAUUACUGGGCGUAAAGCGCACGCAGGCGGUCUGUUAAGUCAGAUGUGAAAUCCCCGGGCUUAACCUGGGAACUGCAUUUGAAACUGGCAGGCUUGAGUCUUGUAGAGGGGGGUAGAAUUCCAGGUGUAGCGGUGAAAUGCGUAGAGAUCUGGAGGAAUACCGGUGGCGAAGGCGGCCCCCUGGACAAAGACUGACGCUCAGGUGCGAAAGCGUGGGA